GAAUAUACCGCCACUCUGUUGCGCCGUGGGCUCAGUUAAAGUGUCGAGUACUAAAUGUGGUUGUGCUCCUGGAUUUCGUUACGCUCCUGGUUUUAGCAGUUCCUGUCUACGAUGUCCGUCAGACACAUAUCAGGAUGAGAAAGGCCAAAGGGAGUGCAAGAAGUGUCAGGAGAGAAACGAAAAUUUAACAAGACAGGAGUGUCGAGCGAGUCCCACUGUUUAGAUGCAAAUCCUCUGCAAAUUCAUGACCAAGUAGUCAAGUUCCUGCCUGAAAACAUCAACAACGAAACGGUAGUCGCGAAUGUUACUGUGAGCGCAGUUCUGUCUACCCUUGUUCGACCAUUUGUGUUUUACAUAGAAAGGGUCACACAACAACGACAAUAUGGCGAGAUGUCAAGGCGAAAGCAGCGAAAGGUUGAAGUUGGCUCUCAGUGUAUAGAGCCUGGUCCCUGUCCUCAAAUCUCCGUCGAUUUCUGUUUCGAGGCAGGCACCGUCAGACCAGAAAAUUAUUUUUGCAUUCACCGAUUCACUGGACGAAUAAGGGUAACGCAAAACUUUGUUUUCAAGGAAGGUGAAGAAUUCGAUUUACAAAUCC